rnacentral:rRNA from 1 species
UACGUAGGGGGCAAGCGUUGUCCGGAUUUAUUGGGCGUAAAGAGCUCGUAGGCGGCUUGUCGCGUCGGCUGUGAAAACCCGCGGCUCAACUGUGGGCGGGCAGCUGAUACGGGCAGGCUGGAGUUCGGUAGGGGAGACUGGAAUUCCUGGUGUAGCGGUGAAAUGCGCAGAUAUCAGGAGGAACACCCAUGGCGAAGGCAGCAAACUGGGCAUCAUCUGACGCUGAGGCGCGAAAGCGUGGGUAGCAAACAGG